rnacentral:rRNA from 1 species
AUGGGCAACACCUUCCCUCUCGACCACAAAUUCUUGGAGGACUACAGCCUUGAGGAAGAAGAUGAGAUGGACAGCGACGGGGAGCCGUUGUUCGAAGACAAGCUCUCUGCCCAAGUCGGCGCAAACAAGAAGCGCAAGAGCAAGCGUACGAAGGCAUACACGCAGCUGGAGGACAAGCUCCUUUGUGAGUGUUGGAGGGACAUUGGACAAGACCCCAAGGUUGGCGCCGAGCAAAAGGCAUCUACCUUUUGGCUACAUGUUCAUCGCAAAAAUGAACGCAACAAGUUCACGCCGUACCAAAUGGAGAGCAAGCGCGGGUGGGUGUCCCUCUCACAGCGAUGGAGGGUGAUACAACAAGAGUACAACAAGUUUUGUGCCACCCUUGAGAGCAUCGAGGCGCGUCCUGUGAGCGGCCUCGGCAUCAAAGAUAUGGCAUUCCAAACUUUGGAGGUAUUCAAGGCGCAAAAUGAAGGCAAGUCCUUCAAUCUGACCCAUUGUUGGAUGGUCAUCAACGAGAAGCAAGCCAAGAUGCUUGAGAUGGAGGCCGAGAAGCAAGCGAAGAUUCUCGAGAUUGAGGCCGCCAAUCCCAAGACCAAGGCAAAAGAGGUGGCGCUCGUUAGCAUGAUGGCGGGGGUGUAG